rnacentral:misc_RNA from 1 species
AAAAAAAUACAUUAAAAGCACAUUAUAUUUUACAUAAGAUCAUGAAAUAGGUGAAAUGAUUCUCUGCUAACAAGCAGAGCCACUGGCAAUCUUCAGAUAGGUAUGCAACAAAUAUGGAACAGAGACACAGAAAACAUGGAUGAAACAAAGACAUGAACGCGAAAGAGUGCUGAUAGCUCAGACCUCAUAUUCAAGACAAUGUUUCGAUGAUCGCAUCAAAGGCUUAGAUGCAGGAUAAUUCCAACAUUCACAAGGACCAGACGUUCAUCAUUCCAAGUAUUACAAAGAAAGAUUUAAUACGAAGUUACUUGGCUGAUACAGAUCCAACCACAUACAUACAGUUUAUAAGUGGCUCAAAGAUGGCCAAUUGUGAAAUGAAAUGGAAAUUCAGAAGGUAGAUCCAUUCCAGCCAAAGAAGGAACCCUUAGUAUCAUAGAAUUUCAGGAAAAAUCGAGAUUUGGGAAUAGACAAUUUAGUCUCAAGUAUGUCAGCUAUUGCAGCACUGAGUUUCUUGUUGACAUCAGCAUUUAAACCCCCAAUGGAGACCAACUCUCCAUAGGCAGCGGGCUGUUCUGUACCCCCGAAAGCCAUGGGAACAGAUCCCUUCAACACAAUCAUGACAUAAGCUUCUGGUUUGCCGAUGAGUUUGGCAACAGUGGAGGUAGCUUCAGAAAGUACGGAGGAAGUAUCAACUCCUUCCAAGUUCACAUUUGUAGAAAUGUUAAGGCACGGCAUUUUCUUCUUCUUCUUCCUUGGCUGUUCUCGAGUCACUGUGAAAAAAACCCUCAAAAUUU